AUACUGAAAGCAUGGUGGAAAACAAUGUGUGAUUCAUUGGCUGUACUCGCAACGGUAAGAACGUAGUUUAAGUCCGAAUGCCAUCCAGUAU
ncrna:unclassified sequences AdoCbl variant RNA